rnacentral:rRNA from 1 species
UACGAAGGGGGCUAGCGUUGUUCGGAAUUACUGGGCGUAAAGGGCGCGUAGGCUGUGCUGUAAGUCAGGCGUGAAAGGCCCGGGCUCAACCUGGGAAUGGCGCAUGAUACUGCGGUGCUGGAGUUCGGGAGAGGAGCGUGGAAUUCCCAGUGUAGAGGUGAAAUUCGUAGAUAUUGGGAAGAACACCGGUGGCGAAGGCGGCGCUCUGGACCGAGACUGACGCUGAGGCGCGAAAGCGUGGGUAGCAAACAGG